UUAACUUCGGUUGGCGGGGUGAGCGGCGGACGGGUGAGUAACGCGUGGGAACGUACCCUUUGCUACGGAAUAGUCUCGGGAAACUGGGGGUAAUACCGUAUAAGCUCUUCGGAGGAAAGAUUUAUCGGCAAAGGAUCGGCCCGCGUUGGAUUAGCUAGUUGGUGAGGUAAUGGCUCACCAAGGCGACGAUCCAUAGCUGGUUUGAGAGGAUGACCAGCCACACUGGGACUGAGACACGGCCCAGACUCCUACGGGAGGCAGCAGUGGGGAAUCUUAGACAAUGGGCGCAAGCCUGAUCUAGCCAUGCCGCGUGAGCGAUGAAGGCCUUAGGGUUGUAAAGCUCUUUCGCUGGGGAAGAUAAUGACUGUACCCAGUAAAGAAGCCCCGGCUAACUCCGUGCCAGCAGCCGCGGUAAUACGGAGGGGGCUAGCGUUAUUCGGAAUUACUGGGCGUAAAGCGCACGUAGGCGGAUCAGAAAGUCAGAGGUGAAAUCCCAGGGCUCAACCCUGGAACUGCCUUUGAAACUCCUGAUCUUGAGUUCGAGAGAGGUGAGUGGAAUUCCGAGUGUAG
rnacentral:rRNA from 1 species